CCACACCCUGGCCUGCCUUGCUCAGCACAGCCAGCUGCCUCUGUCCCACAGAAGCUCCACAGAAUGGGGAAGGACUGCAUCCACUGAGCAUGUCCAGGGGCUACAGGUGACGUGCUGAACCCACAAGCACACUGGCAUCUGAAGAGCGACAUCACUGAUGUCACGGCAAAUCCUCCAAACAGAGAAAAGGGAGGAGCCAAGAGCCUGCUCUCAGCCCAGGAGACCAGCACCCUGAGUGCAAAGAUGCUUAGACCUGUCCUUCCUGACCCUGCCUGGGGACCCAGGCUCCUCUGCUGCUUCACCCUUUGUCUCCUGGGAGCAGACUCAGAAGACAUGGGACUCUCCCUCAUUCCUACAAUAUGAAUCAAGCUCUUCCUCUGUGUGGCCUGCUGUCUCCUGUGGGCAGGACACAUGGAGGCUGGAAUCACCCAGAGCCCAAGACAUGUCAUCACAGAGACAGGAGAAAAGGUGACUUUGAGAUGCCACCAGACCUACAACCAUGACAAUAUGUACUGGUAUCGACAAGACCCAGGGCAAGGGCUGCA